rnacentral:rRNA from 1 species
AAANGAAACUNACAAGGAUUCCNUCAGUAGCGGCGAGCGAAGCGGGAACAGCCCGGUAUGAAAAUCUCUUUGGAGAGUUGUAGUGUGAGCACGCCUGGGUGGUCAGUGCGGGCAAGUCGUCUGGGAUGACGCGCCAUGGAGGGUGAGAGCCCCGUCCAACCCGCACAGGAUUUCACUCGCAACGGUGUGCUUUUAAACCGAGUCGGGUAGUUUGGGAAUGCUGCUCUAAUUUUGGUGGUAAAUCUCAUCAAAGGCUAAAUAAAAGUGGGAGACCGAUAGCGAACAAGUACCGUGAGGGAAAGAUGGAAAGAACUUUGAAAAGAGAGUGAAAAGCACUUGAAACCGUCACGGGGGAAGCGAAUUGCGUCAGUGAAUGUUUGUGGCUGUUCAGCUUUUCUUCAUUUCCUUGCGGGCCGGCCAAUUUCUUGGUCUGCCAGUGCGGAAAAGUAGAAAGUGCAUUCUGGCACAAACGGGCCUGCGUGGCUGGCGGGAGUGUGAGGGGACGACGAAUGAGCGUUGGAUGGCCGGAGUAAUUUAUUAUUUCUGGUUGUCUGCGCCCUGUUCUGUUGACACUUGGCACUCUUUCGCUGGUGAGGGCUCCCCUGAAACACGGGUGAGGACGCUGGCGAAAUGACGCAAUACGACCCGUCUUGAAACACGGACCAAGGAGUCUAGCACGGCUGCGAGUCGACGGGUGUGAAAAACCCAGAGGGCGCAGUGAAAGCGAGAAAGUUGCUUGUUGAAAGUAACGACAAAGCAAAUUGGGGAGGCGUUGCGGUUUUACCAAAAUGUCCUACCUCGAGCAGGUGUGCUGGGACCCGAAAGAUGGUGAACUAUGCCGGAGUAGGGCAAAGCCAGAGGAAACUCUGGUGGAGGCUCGUAGCGAUGCUGACGUGCAAAUCGCUCGUCGAACUUGGGUAUAGGGGCGAAAGACUAAUCGAACCAUCUAGUAGCUGGUUCCCUCCGAAGUUUCUCUCAGGAUAGCGGGCCGACAAAAAUAGUAUACAACUAGAAUGUUGUUCUGUGUGGUAAAGCGAAUGAUUAGUGCAUUUGGGGGCCGAAGGUCUUCGGGCGAUUCUCAAACUUUAAAUGCGCAGGGGGGCGGCUGCUUAAUUUUUGAGCCUGCUCUUUGAAAAACGUCGGCUCCGUGGGCCACUUUUGGUAAGCAGAACUGGCGAUAAGGGAUGAACCUUAAGCGCGGUUAAGGCGCCGCACUGCCCGCUUAUAGAGCCCACAAAAGGUGUUGAUUCAUUUAGACAGCAGGACGGUGGCCAUGGAAGUCGGAAUCCGCUAAGGAGUGUGUAACAACUCACCUGCCGAAUGAAUUAGCCCUGAAAAUGGAUGGCGCUGAAGCGGGCGGCCGACACCGCGCCGUUCGGCCAACAAAUAUUUAUUUUGGGCCGAAUGAGUAGGAGGGCGUGGCGGUCCGUGACGCAGGCGUGGGUGCAAACCCCGCUGAAACGGCCGCUAGUGCAGAUCUUGGUGGUAGUAGCAAAUAUUCAAGCGAGAACCUUGAAGGGCGAAGUGGGGAAGGGUUCCAUGCUAACAUUGAUUGGGCGUGGGUGAGUC